CAAUGUCUACCAGCAACAAGGGUGGUAGCAGCGGUGACAACGGACAACAAAACCGGCAACAACAUUGCAGUAUCCUGCAUAGAUAGGUUUUUAUUACUGCAAAAUUGAUCCCGGCAGCGCUACCGGUAGUUGCGGUAGAUAGGAUUGUACAUGCAGGUCUCUGCAUAUUGCACCAGGUCUCUGGGCGCAGGCAGACGGGUCGCCAAACCUGCAGAGGAAAGUUUGAGACUUUGGAGGCGAAUGGAAAGAUUUGGAGGUCUACUCAGGGAAACGGAAGCAGAACAGAAAACUUUGGAAAUGUAUCUACAGAAGGAAAGGAGGGUGAAGCGUACCGAGCUCAUAGGCUUUUGCAGCCACGGCGGCAGCAAUGUGAGCGGAGAUCUUUCUGAUGCUGCUGAAGGGCGGGAAGAUCGAUCCCUUCUCAAAGUUCUCCUGAUUGGCCUGAUCAGCUAGUGCUUCCGCUGUUUAAAUGAUUACAGCCAUGAGAUUGCUUCACAUCAAACCCUCCCUAGUUUCCCAUUUGGAUACAUAAUUAACAUUUACAUAUGUUCAUUGACUCCAUUAAGAAGGUACUUACAGGCAGCAAGAAGCAUGUCCUCAUGGACACGGGUGGCUCCAGCCAUAAUCAGACCAAGGCCAAGGCCAGGGAAAAUGUAAGCAUUGUUUGCCUGUCAUGA
rnacentral:lncRNA from 1 species